rnacentral:misc_RNA from 1 species
GGAAUUUAAACUAAUUAUCUUCUCUUAAAAUGAGAUGCAUGACUAUCAAUUAGGUUAUGCCUUUGCUACACUAAGCAUGCCAUAAAAUCACCAAAAAGGAUGGCUAUCUCAUCGAGUUAAAAGAGAAUUUGAAUAUGCAGAGGGCCUUACUGUAUAUAUCAUCACGAAGCAACAUUGAGUUUUUCAUUUAGCAAGGGAAGAAUUUUUAUGCAUUUAUGAGCUUAUUGUACAAAUGGAAAUAACAUUAAUAAAAAUGCAAAAACCCAUCCCAAAUCCCAGAGCAAAAUGAUAGUGCCUAAGCAACCUUUUCAUGAUGUUUUGUCCAUCAGCUGUACUGGUGCCAGGAUAUUAGACUUGCUCGUCUCAACAACACAACCAUUCAUGACCAUCUCCUCCAGCAUGAAAUGUGCCUUUUCUAAAUGGAACAUGAUGUCUAGCUCACACACAUUCCCAAAAUGGCGGUCCAUGGUUUCAACUAAGAGAUGUAUGAAUUCCAAUAUUGCAAGCUCAUUCUGCAAAACGCAAGCAGAGAGAAUAUUAAGAAAUACAUUAAAAUGAACUAUAGGUUAAGUUUGGACAAGCAAAUUUCAAGCACCCAGCAUGACUAAAUCAAUAAAUGUAGAAAACAGAAAGAAUUCCAAAGUGCUCUUUUAUAACCCAUGUCAUCCAUUUCCUCCAAGACCGACACACUCCUAAACUUUCUCCAAAGCAAUGCAUAAUAUAUCAAGAAGAAUCUUAAGUCAACUCCUAUUGAAUAUAUGAUCACCAUCAAUAUUAUUGCUUAAAAGAUUGAAGCUUUCAUGCUACUAAGCAGUGUGUGUUAGGCCCUUUAGAGGCGAGGCGGAAUCUCAAUUUCCACAGUAAUCACUAUAAUGUUAUACAUAAAUAUAGAUUUAUAGAUAAAAGGAAGCAAAAACACUAAGCACAAUUAGAACUUCUCAAUGCGAAUAAUUCAAGCCACUUUCCUGGUUCAGCAAGCACAAUAAUCCUAAAGCAAAACACCAAUCAACAAAUUUAAAAAAAAAAGGGACUUACUUCAUCGUUGUCAACACCAACCAGGAAAAAUAAUGAUGCGUAGCGCCUGUAAACAAUUUUGUAAUUGCGAUGCUCAACGAAAGAACACUGUUAUUGAAUAUCCAAAACAAUAACAUUACUGACAAGAAAGCUUUUCAAGAAAGGUUUUAAAAGUUAUAUACCCUAAGAAAAAUCAAAAUCCCUACAUUACCAGGAAUUCUUUUAUUUAUUUGUAACCUAAAUUACGCUGGGAAUGCAAAGAAAUUUUCAACUAUUCCUUUUAAAUAGAAUUUGAUGUCGGAUUAAAAGCGAUUUGCAGCGGAAUUUAGCAUCUAUUAAAUAGUGUUAAAAAUUAUAUAAAGGAAGGAAAACGGAGGCAAAAUCAGAGGAGGAUGAGGUAUUAAGAUCAGAGGAAAAGAAGAUCUGGGCAUUAUUGAUUGAGUUAUAAAGAAAAUAUGCAACUAAAUCGAAUGUGAUUAGGGAGAGAGAGAAAACCUGUUGCUCGGUGCGGGCAAGGCAUUUGCGGACGAUUUCGCCUUCGAGAGCACGGCGUUCUUCAAGGGUGAGCCACUCGUAGUAUUGAGCUAGACGCGUCUGCCCUUGCUUGUUCACCAUCAAUAUGAAUCUGAUCCCCAUUCUUCUUCUUCUUCUUCUU